GGCUACAUAGCGGCGAAACACCGAUUCCCGUAUGAUCACCGAAGUUAAGCAACAUUGAGCCUGGUCAGUACCGAGAUGGGAAUACCAGGUGCUGUAAG
rnacentral:rRNA from 1 species